rnacentral:sRNA from 1 species
AUGUCUCCGACGCCGCCGCUCUUCAGUUUGCCCGAAGCACGGACGCGGUUUACGAAGUCUACCAGAGAGGCCUUGAACAACAAAAACAUCAAGCCAUUGUUAAGUACCUUCAGCCAGGUACCUGGCAGGUAAGGCAUUGAUAUCUAUGAAAAAUACUUGCCUCAAUCUUUAUACAUACCCUGAGCUGUUUGAAAAAUGAGGAUGUCUUUUGUUUUUAAUAGUGAAAAUGAAAAAAAAUGUACCCUUGACCAAGCUUUCAGAGGUGUUCUAGAAGAAGAAAUUGUAAGUAUGUUUUUCCAUUGUUAAAAUUUUGCUGACAAAUUAAUAAACCAUGUUAUUUAAAAAUUGCUUUUUUUCCUAGAAUGGAUAUUUAAACAUCUUUUUUUAGAGUAAGCUUUCUGCUUUGUAAAAGUUGACUUGAUGACAGUAUACGAGUUCUGUAAGGAUUUUGAUAGCACAGGUACAUUUUCAGGGUUUAGUUUAAUAAAUGACAAGAGC